rnacentral:rRNA from 1 species
GAUGAACGCUGGCGGCGUGCCUAAUACAUGCAAGUCGAGCGAACAGACGAGGAGCUGGCUCCUCUGACGUUAGCGGCGGACGGGUGAGUAACACGUGGGUAACCUACCUAUAAGACUGGUAUAACUUCGGGAAACCGUAUCUAAUACCGGAUAAUAUAUUGAACGUCAUUGUUCAAUAGUGAAAGACGGUUUUGCUGGCGCUUAUAGACUGAUCCGCGCCGCAUUAGCUAGUGGGUAAGGUAACGGCUUACCAAGGCAACGAUGCGUAGCCGAACUGAGAGGGUGAUCGGCCACACUGGAAGUGAGACACGGUCCAGACUACUACGGGAGGCAGCAGUAGGGAAUCUGACGCAGUGGGCGAAAGCUUGACAGAGCAACGCCGAGUGAGUGAUGAAGGUCUUCGGAUCGUAAAGCUCUGUUAUUAGGGAAGAACAAAUGUGUACGUAACUGUGCACGUCUUGACGGUACCUAAUCAGAAAGCCACGGCUAACUACGUG